rnacentral:lncRNA from 1 species
AAAAAUGUUAGUUCUUUUCCACCACUGUUUACUCAUUCGUUUUACAACUGCUCAACUUUGUUCUGGUCCAGCAGGACUCUCUUGUACAAGCCCCAACAGCUCCAUGCCCAUCCCUGCCCAGGGUCCAGCCUUGUCUUAGUAAACAUUCAUCUCCCUGACUCAGGCUGCUGCUUAGAAAUUCUGUUUCGGUUGCAGUUCCAUUGUGUGGAGCCAGUACUACAACUUUUCCUCCUGCAUUCAUUUCUCUUCCUGCUGCCUUGUGAAGAAGGUGCCUUGCUUCCCCUUCACCUUCUACGGUGAUUGCAAGUUGCCUGAGGAUUCCCCAGCCAUGUGAAACUUUCACAGAGUUUGAGAGAAACUGUAUUCAAGUUGCUGAAACCAAGAAGCUACACUCACGAGUCUCACCUAAACUCGAAUCUGAUUUAGAUGACAUCAUCCUGGACUUUGAGUUGAUGAAACCUUGGAGGUCUUGGGAGUAAAGCAAGUGUGAUUUGCAUAUGAUGGAUAUGAAUUGUAAUGGCCAGAGCAUGGCUGUGAGAUGAAAACUCCCAUUUUAGGGAACCAAGACUGAAUUCCAUAAUUUACAUGGAUGUUUGGAAGGUGUCUGCAACUUAAUCUGUGUUCGUUUCUGAGAUGUUGGGCAACUCCUUCUUGGAAGAUGUGGUAAUGGUCUCUUCGAAAAGAAAAUAAUCAUCUGAGUUUUGGCCAAAAUAGUUGAUCGGAUUACCUAUGAAAAUGACUCUCACCCAACUACAAGAAUGUUAUGAUGUAGAAACUCUAAAUAUAUGAGUAAUUAACUAUACAACACUCCAUCCCCAUGUGAAAAUCUUUAAUCUUUUAAGAUACUGAAAUUUUGUGUAUGUCUCAUAAUUUUCUGUAUAUGGUCAAUGAGUUUUGCCUUAGCCAUAAGUGGUCUGUCUGAAAUCUUCUCUAUUAUUUGUGCAUUUUCUUCCUGAUGUACCAAGCCUAGUCUGUUUGUUUUUUCCUAAGAGAAAAGCAGAUGAUUCAACUGUGUAUUUCUCAGUGUUGAUAUUGUGGUUUGAGGUAUUUCAUAAUCUUGAGUAAAAUCUUGUCAAUUUUAUGCUAUGCCUUGUGGGAACAUAUUUUUACUUUUAAGUCUCUUUGGCAAGUGGAGCUUCCUUUGUGUUUCCUCACCAAAUGUAUUCCCCAUUGUUUUCUGAUUAAUUCUUUUUCAGAAUGUUUACUCCUUCUUACCUCAAUGUCAUUACUUUUCAGUCUUGGCUUUGGGUAAACCUAGGACAAGAAUUGGAUAUCCAAAGCCAAUUUCAAUAUAAAAACUAUAAUAUCUAUCAAAAUCUAUGUAAAAUCCUGUGUAUAUUUCUCUUCUUUGUUGAACAGGGGCUUAUAAUCAUGUAGGUAAAUACACGUGGUUUUGAUUUCAGCACUGAUUACUGAAGAUUUGUCUUCCAUUCUUCUGGGCCAGGCCCAUACACAACCAUAGUUAGAAGUAAAAACUAUUUGUUAUACCUGGAAUGCCUUUCCUUUCAAUCUCUGAAUGUCUAAAAUUACUUUUUCUUUGAAGACCACCUCAGGUGACCCUACUGUGGGGAAAAUGCCUGAAUUAUCUUUGUAAUCCCAGCUCAGCCACUUAAAGAUUGUGUAAGUUUAGUGUCAGCAUAUUACUUAAGUUCUUUUAGAUUUAGUUUCCUCAUAUGUAAGCUGGGGAUAAUAAUACCUACCUCAUAGAAAAUGAAUGAGAAUCAAGUUAUAUAAUAUAUGAACAACACUUGACACUGUGUGUGAACACUCAAUACAUGUAAAUCAUUAUUAUUAGCAAAAUGAUUAUUAGGUUCUCAUGCUAAUCCACAAUUUUUAUUGGCAGAUAUCCAUUAGUUUAUAGUUAAUGUUAUUCAUAAUCUUUUCUUCAUAUUCAAAUAGGAAGAGAUGACUUCUCAAUCUAGUUAAUCCUGGAUGUGUAUUUCUCUUAAUUUAUUGAGUGUAAAAUGCUUAUUUAUAUACAUACAAUUUCCCUUAUUAGUGAACAUCUAGAAGGCAGAAUGGUACUUCAUUUCUUUCUGUAUGUUUAGCACCAAGGACAGUACCUGGCACAUAGAAGAUACAUAUUAAAAACAAAUAAAACAACUCUUAAUGGAUCUCAUUUUAAAAAAAUUCUCGGUUAAUUAUAAAGGCUCUAGUAAACCAAAUAAUUGUAUGUUAACUUAUUUACUUUUAUUACUGUGUUUAUUUUCUCCAACUGCUUCAUCAUACAAAGUAAACACCUGAAUGUAAGCUGCAUGAGGGCAAGAGCUGUGUCUUGUUUACUGCUCUCAAGAACAUUUGAGCAAAGUGCCUGGCACAUGGCAGACACUCAAUAAGUUACAAUUAAUACUCAAUGUAUGAACUGAUCUAUACUUAGAAUUGACUAAGAAGAAUAAGUCUUACACAGACUCAGUCUCUGAGAACUUGAAAAUCUAAGUUUGCAUAUCUCUGCUGUUGUGUUUUCAGGUUACUCAGUAGAAAACCAAGUUAUUUACACAUCCUCAAGUGUCUCAAGGUUAAAUCUUCCAUGCAUAAAAUAUCUGGGCGAUUGAUUGUGUUUCUUACUUUGCUCCUAAGUAUGUUAGCAUCAUAUAGGCAUAGCCUAAGCCAGACCAAAAUGAAUUCAUUGAUUGACUCAACAAAUGUUUAUGGAUCUCAGAUAUUAUAUGGAGAUGGUGUCAAACAACGGGAUGUGCUAUGGAAUUUGAUGUGGAGGCUGAAGGAAAGAGGAAUCUAGGCGGACUCACAGAUUUUUUGGCUUGAGUAACUUGGACAUUAUGGUGAGUUAUUGAACGGAAGUCUAGGGAUUGUUCAACCCCUGAAAACAGACCACAUCCCAUUGCAGGAGGAAAUUUGG